UACGUAGGGUGCAAGCGUUAAUCGGAAUUACUGGGCGUAAAGCGUGCGCAGGCGGUUUUGUAAGUUUGUCGUGAAAGCCCCGGGCUCAACCUGGGAAUGGCGAUGAAGACUGCAAGGCUUGAAUCUGGCAGAGGGGGAUGGAAUUCCGCGUGUAGCAGUGAAAUGCGUAGAUAUGCGGAGGAACACCGAUGGCGAAGGCAAUCCCCUGGGCCUGCACUGACGCUCAUGCACGAAAGCGUGGGGAGCAAGCAGG
rnacentral:rRNA from 1 species